rnacentral:rRNA from 1 species
AUUGAACGCUGGCGGCAGGCCUAACACAUGCAAGUCGAGCGGAUGAAGGGAGCUUGCUCCUGGAUUCAGCGGCGGACGGGUGAGUAAUGCCUAGGAAUCUGCCUGGUAGUGGGGGAUAACGUCCGGAAACGGGCGCUAAUACCGCAUACGUCCUGAGGGAGAAAGUGGGGGAUCUUCGGACCUCACGCUAUCAGAUGAGCCUAGGUCGGAUUAGCUAGUUGGUGGGGUAAAGGCCUACCAAGGCGACGAUCCGUAACUGGUCUGAGAGGAUGAUCAGUCACACUGGAACUGAGACACGGUCCAGACUCCUACGGGAGGCAGCAGUGGGGAAUAUUGGACAAUGGGCGAAAGCCUGAUCCAGCCAUGCCGCGUGUGUGAAGAAGGUCUUCGGAUUGUAAAGCACUUUUAGUUGGGAGGAAGAGCAGUAAGUUAAUACCUUGCUGUUUUGACGUUACCAACAGAAUAAGCACCGGCUAACUUCGUG